AAACCAAUCCAGCCUCGUGCUUGGGUCUUGGGCCUUUCGCCUCUGGGCGGGCCUUAAAAUCAGUGGCGGUGCCAUCUGGCUCUAAGCGUAGUAAUACUCCUCGCUAUAGACGUCUGGUGGUGUCUUGCCAAUAACCCCUAAUUUUUACA
rnacentral:misc_RNA from 1 species